rnacentral:rRNA from 1 species
UACGUAGGGUGCAAGCGUUUGUUCGGAAUCAUUGGGCGUAAAGAGCGUGUAGGUGGCUUGCCAAGUCAGAUGUGAAAGCCCUCGGCUCAACCGGGGAAGUGCAUUUGAAACUGGCAGGCUAGAGAACGGUAGAGGAAGGUGGAAUUCCAAGUGUAGAGGUGAAAUUCGUAGAUAUUUGGAGGAAUACCUGUGGCGAAGGCGGCCUUCUGGGCCGUUUCUGACACUGAGACGCGAAAGCGUGGGUAGCAAACAGG